rnacentral:rRNA from 2 species
GAGUUUGAUCAUGGCUCAGAUUGAACGCUGGCGGCAGGCCUAACACAUGCAAGUCGAGCGGAUGACGGGAGCUUGCUCCUUGAUUCAGCGGCGGACGGGUGAGUAAUGCCUAGGAAUCUGCCUGGUAGUGGGGGGACAACGUUUCGAAAGGAACGCUAAUACCGCAUACGUCCUACGGGAGAAAGCAGGGGACCUUCGGGCCUUGCGCUAUCAGAUGAGCCUAGGUCGGAUUAGCUAGUUGGUGGGGUAAUGGCUCACCAAGGCGACGAUCCGUAACUGGUCUGAGAGGAUGAUCAGUCACACUGGAACUGAGACACGGUCCAGACUCCUACGGGAGGCAGCAGUGGGGAAUAUUGGACAAUGGGCGAAAGCCUGAUCCAGCCAUGCCGCGUGUGUGAAGAAGGUCUUCGGAUUGU